AACACCCAGAAUCCAAUAUCAAAAAAUCAAGAAGUACAUAACUCCAAACUCACAAUUACCAGAUCUAGAUUCAGACUUUAUAGGGCAAGUCCGGAAAAGUUUAAUAAUCAUGUCUUCAAAUGAACAAAUAAGCGUAAGGUAUUAGAACCCGCAAAUAAAGUUUUGCACAGUGAAUUUGAAGUUCUCUUCCAGUAAAAGUAACGGGUGGGUUUUGAAAUUCCUACAAGGACAUCAUACGGUUUCUUGAAAUUCAAACUUUAUUAUAUUAGGGGUUAUGUUAAUAAGUUAUUUCACCAAAAGGAAAAUCACAUCCAAUGGGGAAAAAAUAUGUAACCCAAUAAAAUAAUUAUCCCCUACAUAUGUGCUAAAUGUAAGGGAGCUUCAUUUUCCUACUAUCUCAACAGUUAUUUUUACUAUAUUUUCUCUUUAUAGACUGGAAACCUUUAACCUGGAUGCUAGAGGUCUUAUAAUUUAAACAAAAUCAAUGAAGAAUAUCAGACUCAAGACUUCCUAUCACUUAUUUCUCCAGAAUUUUCAGCUACCAAAGGCACAGCUUUUUUUCAAAAAUAAAUAAAUUCUUUUGAGUACCUUAUGAAAGCAUAAAACAACUGGUAAUAAAAUCACUGCAAGCAAUUACUUGCAUUCAUAACUCACGAAAAAUCAGCUCCCAAAAUCGCAACCAGCUGAGUUUAUUUAACUUCGACCAAGUGUUUGCUUAAUAGGCAUAUCAGCUAAUUUUCACACGCACUAAACACCAAUCCAGGAUCCAUCUUGCAUUUUCCCGAAACACACACAGAAUCCAAAUGAAAUGAAGAAAAAUUCUCAUAAUUUACGAAUACAAGAUAACCACCUACUCUCAGAAGCAAGACAGAAGCUUUAAAGAUCAAAAUUGCUAUCGUCUGCGGUCACGGAGGCCUCAGGCAAUUCUUUGGAGUUGGAAGCCUUUGAUCAUCUUGCCCUCUUCAACCCAUUUAUCAAUUACUGGAACCAAACUGAUAACUAGGUCACCAAGGGGAGUGAUUCUUGAAAAGAGGUCAUUGCUUGCGUUGGUGUGGUGUCUUCUUUUCGAGAUUGCAUUGCUACGAGGCUUUGGUUUCUGUUGAAGGUUGCGAAGAAUCGCGUUGAUGCCGGUUGGAGAUUGAGUUUGACAACAAUGGGAAGCGAGAGAUUGAUUGUUCUAGCUUGAAGCCUUGAAAAGCUGCUGACUGAGACUGAGG
rnacentral:misc_RNA from 1 species